rnacentral:rRNA from 1 species
AGGACAUCUGAAGUGAAUCAAAGGUUUACCGCUAAGGGAUGGGGAUGCGUCUGAUUAGGCAGCAGGCGGGGUAACGGCCCACCUGGCCGACGAUCAGUAGGGGUUCUGAGAGGAAGGUCCCCCACAUUGGAACUGAGACACGGUCCAAACUCCUACGGGAGGCAGCAGUGAGGAAUAUUGGUCAAUGGUCGAGAGACUGAACCAGCCAAGUAGCGUGCAGGAUGACGGCCCUAUGGGUUGUAAACUGCUUUUAUGCGGGGAUAAAGUGAGGGACGUGUCCCUUUUUGUAGGUACCGCAUGAAUAAGGACCGGCUAAUUCCGUGCCAGCAGCCGCGGUAAUACGGAAGGUCCGGGCGUUAUCCGGAUUUAUUGGGUUUAAAGGGAGCGCAGGCGGAGGCUUAAGCGUGACGUGAAAUGUAGCCGCUCAACGGCUGAGUUGCGUCGCGAACUGGGUUUCUUGAGUGAGUGCGACGUCAGCGGAAUUCGUGGUGUAGCGGUGAAAUGCUUAGAUAUCACGAAGAACCCCGAUUGCGAAGGCAGCUGACGAGCCCUUUACUGACGCUAAAGCUCGAAGGUGCGG